UAGCUGCUGAUGGUACAUGGGGAUGCUACUUUGGCUUGUGAAGAGGAAUGAGUGCCCGAACAAGGAAAAGCUUGUGCUCUUCUUUCAAAGGCAGUGCAAAACCAUUUAUAAUGCUACCCAGAAUUUCCAACAGCUCAGCAAUCCCAUUAUGCUUCUCUGUUUCAAAUAUGAAGUGGUAGAAUAUAUUAUUGAUAGCUUUUCUGACGAAGGGGCGAUGAACCAUGAACUUUCCAUAUAUCCGAUGCAGCUACUAGUUACUUUAAAUACGUUCCCUUUCUCUAGGAUCUUCUGAGUCGAAGAGAUCUAAUAACCUCAGAACAAAAGAGUGAUCAAUGUAACGCUUCGCUAGCUUUGCAUCUGUCUCUGGUGAAGCCACAAACCUCAGAAGAAAUUCAUACACAACUUGCAAAUGAGGCCAAGCAGGAUCCAUCAAGGGCUCCUCUUCUUCUAAAUCAAAGGCUUCCAAGAUCUUGUUUUCACGAGGCUGCGUGGAGAGCGUACGGAAUAAAUUUACAGAUACCAUUUUCACAAUCUCUUGCAUGGCAGUUUCUGUGAAUUUCUGAUUUGCUGAAGCGACAUAGUCAACAAGCUCCACUAAUGUCUGGCGCUUGAUGUCCUUUUCCUUCAAAUUCUUCGUAGGGUCAGUGAAGUCAAAUAUAACACAACAUAUAUUCAACUUUCUGAUAAACAAGCUUUGUUUCUCAGAAUUUGGGACAUCUUUGAAGCUAGGCAAAGCCUCAUACGGAACAUAUCCUGCAUUCCCAUUAACCUUAGUACUUAGUGGGUUAUUUCCAUAAUUUGGCAUGGAAUUUGAAGUUGUAUUAAUCCCAGGAACAGCUGCAUGAUUAGUAUUGCCUGACCGGGAACCUGCAGCAUAAGCAUUUCUUGAAGUAGCUGAAGCAUUUGAAGUGUAAGUAGAGGAUCCUCCAUCACGAUUAUCCACUAACUUGCUAUGUUUCCGUGGAAGCUUAUUGAGAAUAUUCUUUAUCAUCACUAAGUGCAAAACGGUCACAAUAUUCUUCAAGUGAACUAAACUCCCGUGAACGAACAAUCAAAUGCUUCACAACUGGAGGCACAUCAUAAAUGGUAAUAGGAGUAAAGAAAUAGUAGCAAAACAAUCAUCAGACUGAUUCUACUAGCUACAUAUGAUUCAUGGAGGACCUAUGAACCGACUUUAAAUCCGCACUGCCAAUGUGCAAACACUUUUCCAGUGAAGGAAUUACCAUCUGUAAAAGGAAAAGUGAGAUUAAAACAAGAAUAACAGAUUUUAUUUCCAUCAAGCUACAAAUAAGAAACUAAAAUUCUCCAUUUUCUUUUUCAAAGAAAUGUAAACUAGUGUGAAGUCCACCCUUCCAAACAAGCAUAAUUUUGCAUGUCACUUUCCUUAUGCAUAUCCUAGAUGUAGAAAUCAACCUUAAACGAAGAUAAACUAUCAAAAUUAACACAAAGCAAUCAAGAUAAUAUCCCACAAAUUAGCUUAAUCACAAAGAACAAAAAAUCCCAGUUCAUGAACUCACCUCAUCUUCCCCCUUUCUCCUUAUUUCACAAAAUUCCCUACUAUUGAGCACAGAUCAGCACGUUCAAGAUCUGGGCUGCGAUCUAAAAGAACUGGUUAACAUCAUUCAUCAACAACCGCUCACCAAAAAAGAUCAAAAGAGGCAACACGCGGAGCUCUAUCGCUAUAGAACUGUGCACAAAUAUAUAAACUAGAGAACUCUACAUGUACGAGUACUGAAGCAGAGAGCGCACGAGUCAUGGGCCAUUGAUGAAAAAUUAAAGUAAACAGCUUGUUUGAAUUCUGAUGCAGAAAAUAAUUAAAGCAGAAAAGGGCCGUGGAGAUUGAGAGCAAAACUCUAGAAAUCGGCCCCGGGAGUGAGAUAAACUAGAGAGAGAAAGCGAAAGGUGUGUGAAUUGGGAUGGGGGGUUAAGAGGCAAAAAAAGGGAAGUAGAGAACACAAUUUUUUGGGUUUGCUGUUGUUGAUGAUGGGCUGUGGAGCUGUACUCGUGUGCUGUUUAUGGUUUUGCUCAAAUUAUUGAUUUUCUGAUUUCUUAUAAAGUCUUCUCUUUUUUCAUUUCCUCUCCUCGCUUUUUAUUUUCCUUUUCUUUUUUUAUUUGAAAAAUAAUUUUGGAAUUUCAGCGUGCGAAAAACACACCUCCGCCACCCCCUUUAUCCUGUUCUAAAUGCAAGGAAUUUUCUUUUCCCUAAAAUUGAUGGACUCUUUAUAUAAUUUCUUUUUUUUCUAUAAAUUUAAAUGAAAUGUUAUUAGUCGAGAUUAGAUAUACUCGGGAACAUGAUGGGUUAAAUAUGUAUAGCAAUGCACAGUAAUUUAGUUAACAAGAUGCUUUAUUUCCCAUUAUUAGGUCAAAAUUUUAAAUCAUUAUCGAAUAAAAUAAUGAAGUAUUAUUGAUCUUUAAAAAAAAUAACGUAUUUAUUAUAUUUAGAGACAAUCAUCAUUUGAAACAAGAAAUUUGAUCAAAUUUUUAAAAUUUUUGCAAUUAAAACUCUUCAAAAACAAAAAUUGAUGACCUAAAAUUUCAAAUAUUCAUCGUGCGAAGUCAUUAUUCAUGAAAUCUAAGUUUGGGUCGUAUAUGGAUCGACAUCCAAUACUUGUUGAGGUAAUAAAUUUCAUCGAAAUAAUUUUUAACAAUUAUGAUUAGAUUAGCGUUGAAAUUGCGUCUAAGUAAGUAAUAGACGUCAAAUCACAUGUCAAAAUCUUAAUAUUAUCAAAAUUGUGGGAGUUCGUACCUUUAUUUCUUGAAUGAAUCGAGAUUUCGAACCGCAUAAAUUACAAAAAAAUAAUGUUACCAAAAAAAUUGGAAUAAUUUUAAUUGUAAAUAACUAAAUACUUAUUUGCUAGGUUUUAAAAAUCAUGUCGAAAUUGUAAUUUUUAUCAAAACUAAUAAUUAAAUGAUAAUUAUUUCUUAUAUUUGACGGUAUGGAUGGAAUGCAUAAUCGAUAUGUAUACAUUUUCUUUUUUUUUUACUAUCAAAUACUCCAUCAGUUAAAGUUUAAUGUACUCCUUCCGUCCCAUAUGGAUAGGUUGAUUGGAAUUUUUCACAAAGAUUAUGAAAAAUCAUUGGAAAUGAAAAUAUAUAAGUAAAUUUCCUAGUAUGCCCAUAUUUAUUAUUUAAUGAUGUAUUAAAGUGUGAGUAAAUUAAAGAAUUAAAUAGGGAUAUAAUAGUAAAUGAGUAAAAAAAUAUUACUUUUUAUGGAAACAAGCCUAUAUAAUAUAAAUUAGACAUUAAAAAAAAAACAAGCCUAAGCAUAUGAGACGGAGGGAGUAUAUGACGCAACUAAGAAAACCAAUUUUAAAAUAGCAUACAGUUCUUCGAUGAUGUCUUAAAUACUUCUUUCUUUUUUUUGAAAAUAGUAUGUCUUAAAUACUUCUUAAUUGCGCCACAUCACGCAAAGUCAUUUACUAGUACUAUAAAAGAUAAACAACUUUUUUGAAAAAUAAAACAUGUUAGCUGCUUAUGUACCCAAAAUAUUAAUCACAUAAAUGAGAGUGAGUUUCCAGCUCAAAAAUAGAAGAAGAAAUAAAGUGAAUUUCUUGUGCAUUGUAAGUGUGGUAGUUACUCCAUAUUUCUUUAGGAACAAGUCAAAUAACUUUAUCUUAUUUCCGCAAUUCCGCUGGGUGUAAUAUUACAGUUGAUUGAGAUGAUUAUACUUUGAACUGCCGCCAUAUUGGCAUAAUUUAUAUUUGAUCAUUGCUAAAAUAAUUCAUGUAUAUUAAUUAGUGGCAAGACACGUUCAUGUUUCGUUGACAAAAAAGGAUCAAGUCAAAACCUAAUCCAUUUUGCACUUAUCAUCUUGAUCUUGAUUAAUUGAUGUUUUAUACUUUCUAAUAACAUUGAGACAAAAAUAAAAAAUAUUGAGACGAAAAGCUUCUCCUCUAAUUAGUAGAUGGAUAGUUCAGACAUCUAAAAGAGGUAAAAUGCAUAUACAUGAUAUGUCAGUAAUUUUGUAUUUCUUUAAAUAAAAAUAAUUUUCAAAAAUAAUAUUGAAUAUUGUAUAGUAGCAAUAUUAUGACGUUAACAAGAUAUAUAAAAUACAAAUACUAUUAUGUGCUGAUAUAAAAUAACCGUAAACACAAUUUAAGGUUUUCAAAUGAACAAGCAUCAUAAACCUAGCUAGGUAUAUUUGUGGAUAACUAUAUAACAUCAUAAAUACAUAUUUAUAUACGUCGAGAUAAGUUGUACAAAACAUGUGCAUAUUUCAUGGGGGGUAGCACCUCUUAAUCUUUCCUAUUGGAGGAAAACGAGCAAACAAAAUAGAUCGGUAGCUAUAUUUAGAUCCAACCUUCACCACCAAGUAACAAAAUCUACAUUUCCUCAUAGAUAUGGCAAAUCGAAGGACUCAAAUGAAAUUGGAGGCUUCAACUUAUAAUCUAAUCCCUCCAUAAAUGCCUGACAUAUCAAUCACACAUUGUUCACACCUCACACACAAAUUUAUUAGUCAGUAUCAACUCCCUCACAAGCUGGUAACCUAGGUCAAGAUUAAAUAUGGGACUAUUCGUAAUUAUGAUCAGUUUAAUCAUUCCAACAUUUAACUAAUUUUUCUGUUUUUUACAUUAACAAUGAUAUCCUACACAAUCUAAUUAACCACUUUUUUUUUAUGGUUUAUCGAUGAUCACUCCAACCAUUCAAUCACAAUAUUUUAUAUAAUUAUUUUAUCAUUACUUUAAAUUAUAAUAUAUUUAAUUGUGUUAAAAAAAUUAAAAGACAAUUGUAAAAUUGUAAAAACUCAAAAGAGAACAAAAUAAAAUUCAAAACUUAUAAACUAAGAACACAAAUUACUAUAGCAAUCGGAAUAUNAGUUUGGGUCGUAUAUGGAUCGACAUCCAAUACUUGUUGAUGGUAAUAAAUUUCAUCGAAAUAAUUUUUAACAAUUAUGAUUAGAUUAGCGUUGAAAUUUGUCGUCAUAAGUAAGUAAUAGACGUCAAAUCACAUGUCAAAAUCUUAAUAUUAUCAAAUUGUGGGAGUUCGUACCUUUAUUUCUUGAAUGAAUCGAGAUUUCGAACCGCAUAAAUUCAAAAAAUAAUGUUACCAAAAAAUUGGAAUAAUUUUAAUUGUAAAUAACUAAAUACUUAUUUGCUAGGUUUUAAAAAUCAUGUCGAAAUUGAAUUUUUAUCAAAACUAAUAAUUAAAUGAUAAUUAUUUCUUAUAUUUGACGGUAUGGAUGGAAUGCAUAAUCGAUAUGUAUACAUUUCUUUUUUUUUACUAUCAAAUACUCCAUCAGUUAAAGUUUAAUGUACUCCUUCCGUCCCAUAUGGAUAGGUUGAUUGGAAUUUUCACAAAGAUUAUGAAAAAUCAUUGGAAAUGAAAAUAUAUAAGUAAAUUUCCUAGUAUGCCCAUAUUUAUUAUUUAAUGAUGUAUUAAAGUGUGAGUAAAUUAAAGAAUUAAAUAGGGAUAUAAUAGUAAAUGAGUAAAAAAAUAUUACUUUUUAUGGAAACAAGCCUAUAUAAUAUAAAUUAGACAUUAAAAAAAAACAAGCCUAAGCAUAUGAGACGGAGGGAGUAUAUGACGCAACUAAGAAAACCAAUUUUAAAAUAGCAUACAGUUCUUCGAUGAUGUCUUAAUUAAUACUUCUUUCUUUUUUUUGAAAAUAGUAUGUCUUAAAUACUUCUUAAUUGCGCCACAUCACGCAAAGUCAUUUACUAGUACUAUAAAAGAUAAACAACUUUUUCGAAAAAUAAAACAUGUUAGCUGCUUAUGUACCCAAAAUAUUAAUCACAUAAAUGAGAGUGAGUUUCCAGCUCAAAAAUAGAAGAAGAAAUAAAGUGAAUUUCUUUGUGCAUUUGUAAGUGUGGUAGUUACUCCAUAUUUCUUUAGGAACAAGUCAAAUAACUUUAUCUUAUUUCCGCAAUUCCGCUGGGUGUAAUAUUACAGUUGAUUGAGAUGAUUAUACUUUGAACUGCCGCCAUAUUGGCAUAAUUUAUAUUUGAUCAUUGCUAAAAUAAUUCAUGUAUAUUAAUUAGUGGCACAGACACGUUCAUGUUUCGUUGACAAAAAAGGAUCAAGUCAAAACCUAAUCCAUUUUGCACUUAUCAUCUUGAUCUUGAUUAAUUGAUGUUUUAUACUUUCUAAUAACAUUGAGACAAAAAAAAAAUAUUGAGACGAAAAGCUUCUCCUCUAAUUAGUAGAUGGAUAGUUCAGACAUCUAAAAGAGGUAAAAUGCAUAUACAUGAUAUGUCAGUAAUUUUGUAUUUCUUUAAAUAAAAAUAAUUUUCAAAAAUAAUAUUGAAUAUUGUAUAGUAGCAAUAUUAUGACGUUAACAAGAUAUAUAAAAUACAAAUACUAUUAUGUGCUGAUAUAAAAUAACCGUAAACACAAUUUAAGGUUUUCAAAUGAACAAGCAUCAUAAACCUAGCUAGGUAUAUUUGUGGAUAACUAUAUAACAUCAUAAAUACAUAUUUAUAUACGUCGAGAUAAGUUGUACAAAACAUGUGCAUAUUUCAUGGGGGGUAGCACCUCUUAAUCUUUCCUAUUGGAGGAAAACGAGCAAACAAAAUAGAUCGGUAGCUAUAUUUAGAUCCAACCUUCACCACCAAGUAACAAAAUCUACAUUUCCUCAUAGAUAUGGCAAAUCGAAGGACUCAAAUGAAAUUGGAGGCUUCAACUUAUAAUCUAAUCCCUCCAUAAAUGCCUGACAUAUCAAUCACACAUUGUUCACACCUCACACACAAAUUUAUUAGUCAGUAUCAACUCCCUCACAAGCUGGUAACCUAGGUCAAGAUUAAAUAUGGGACUAUUCGUAAUUAUGAUCAGUUUAAUCAUUCCAACAUUUAACUAAUUUUUCUGUUUUUCACAUUAACAAUGAUAUCCUACACAAUCUAAUUAACCACACUUUUUUUUUAUGGUUUAUCGAUGACUCCAACCAUUCAAUCACAAUAUUUUAUAUAAUUAUUUUAUCAUUACUUUAAAUUAUAAUAUAUUUAAUUGUGUUAAAAAAAAUUAAAAGACAAUAGUAAAAUUGUAAAAACUCCAAAGAGAACAAAAUAAAAUUCAAAACUUAUAAACUAAGAGCACAAAUUACUAUAGCAAUCGGAAUAUGAAGUAUAAAAUUGAAAAUACACAAUCGAUUAUUCAAAUAGGUUAAAAAAAAGAGUAUACAUUUAGUUACAAUUGCCGAUUUCUUGCUAGAUAUGCUCUAUCGGAUCAUUUUUUAAGAGAGACGUGUACUUCUCUAUUGCGAAAUUGUGCCUAUUUGUCAUAUAGCUAGAAAGACUUGUAAUCUGUUCCAUAAGAAUUCAAAAUUUGAAUAAUCAAUUUAUUCUCCAUCUCCACUUUGUCUACUAUUUGGUGUAGGUCGAGCUCUUAUUUAUCAUGUGGAAUCACGAUAGUUUAAGUAAGCGUGUCAUUCGUAUUCAAAUAUCAUAUUGUACAUAAUUACGCAAGCAAUCAUUUUUUUUCUCAUCAUACCACGAUCCUGAAUAAGACAUGGUUGCUUAAUGAAACCAAAACAAGUUCGGAGAACGCUAAAUGCUCGUUCAACAUCUUUGCGGGGAACCUCUUGAUGUUGAGCAAACAACUUUUGAAUUUGUGGACAAUUAAUAGUUUUGACAAAUGCUGCUCAUCGAGGAUGUAUGUUAUCUAACUGUAUGUCAUCAGUUAGAUAAUAUCUCAUCUUAUCUUCAUUGAUCCUCUAUCAUAUAAAUAAUCCUACACUUGCACACAUUAAAUCCAUCAAUUAUGUGUGCGUGUGUUGGCCAAGCAGUAGAGUGGUUAUUGCCUAUAUAUGCAAAGUCUUGGAUUUGAAUCCAUCGUGCAACCUUUAAAUUUAUUUAUUUAAUAUUGUUAAUCUAUCAAAAAAAAAAUCAUCAAUUAUAUACCAUAAUAUAUCCCUUCAAAUAAUAUAUUAUUAUUCUUGGGCAAAUAAAUUAUAUAGACGUUUUCUCCGUAAUUAAUUCUCAUCUCCCAGUUAAAUAAAUUCAAUUGGGAAACCUUCUCUUAAAAAUUCUACCUUACUCAUAUAAAUAUAUAAUCUCAUAAAGUUCAUGUUUCAUAAAUCUCAUAUUCAAAUGCUCACAGAGCAUAGCUCAUAAUUCACCUCUUGUAAAUUAAUUAAAUUCCAUCACAAGAGUUAUCAACUUAUCUCAUCAUAUAUAAAAAUAAAUAAUAACACCACAUAUAUAUUUUUUUGAUAGAUAUCACACCACAUAUAUUAUAUAGAAUAUAUAUACAUAUAAUAGCUAUAAAUAAUAUAUCUCAUAUAAAAAAAAUGACGGGUGUUACAAUGGCGUUACUGCAUGUGAAGAAUCAGAAUGGUUGACGUUUUGAUCGUGCGGUUGCGAAUCUCUUUGAAAUAUCUCUCAACAUCGACCUACAACUUGAAAUCGAAGAUACCAAUGAAGCAUCCACACUGUUUCAAACAGAAUUCAGUAUGUUGAGACAAACAGGGGGCAAAAAUACAAGUCAGAAUUUGUGCUUUUCUUGCUAAGCAAUCGUUUUCAAUGCUUAUAUCAUCGAUCCAAGACUUAUCUGUGAUGUUAAUAUUGAAUGCCAAUUCCAACAUGAAAUCGGUAUAUACGUAUUUCUGAUCUAAAUCAUUUGAAAUUUGAAUCAUAUCAUACGAAUUCCUCUUUAAGUAGAAUCAUUCUCGUUCAUUCAGAGACACUGGAGUCCUACAAAAUAAUAAUAAUAAUAAUAAAUUUAAUUGAUUAGUAAGAGCAUCAACAACCCUUGCACCCAUAGUGGGUGCAAUAGAAGUAGUCUCAUUUCUAUUGCACCCACUCCAACAAUGGUAUUGCACUCACUUGGGUGCAAUGGAUUUUAUUUUAUUUUUGAUAUAGUUUUAUUCUAGUUUUCAUUUUAAAUUUACAAUAAUUGAUAAAUUAAAAUUUCAUUGAAUUCAAAUUCAAAUCCUACAUUGAUUGAAUUAAAGUUGCAAUACAAGAAAUUAAAAUCCUAAAUUACUUAAAUUAAAACAAACAUAAAAUAAAAAAUCCUAAAAAUCAUUAAAUUAAUUGAUCAGUUCUAAUUAGAAAAUUCUAACUAACAAUAAAUAAAUUUUAAUUAAAAUUAUAUUUUAGAAAUAUACUAAAAAAACCAAUAAUACGAAAAAAGGAAAAAAAAAUACGAAAAUUAUUAUUAUUAUUAUUAUUUUGGUUUGAAAAGGGGCGCGUGUAAACACGCCCCCUCCUUCGCUCCCACACGCUGCUGGUGCGUUUCAUCGCCCCAUCCCCAUUGCACCCGGGUGCAGCAACGCCGGCGGGUGCGAUAGGCCGGGUUCGAUUCGACCUUCGCACCCAGAGUUGGAGGUGCUCUAAGCUGUAUCCAAUAUCUCACCUCUGGAAACAUAACAACGUGCACCACUUGUUUAAAGAUAAACCAAAAAACAUGAGGAUUAUAGUAUACCUUAAAUUAGUUAAUUACAGCAUGAGUCAGUCAAUUUAUUAUACAAAUGAAUAAGGAUUUGUUUGUUUUGAAUGAAAAAUUGUAUACGAUAGAUGAUAGAUAUGUCGAUAACGUAUAUCUAAGUUGUUGUUGGUUUUAUAAAAUGCUCCUUUUGGCUAGUACUGUAUUUUGAAUAAGUCAUUAGAGCAUCAGCAGCGCAUGGAGCCAAGGGAGCGUCGAUCCGGGUUGAAGGUUUGGCCGCACUACAAGAAUUUGAGUUUUCAGCCACACACGUAAAUGUGGUUAAAAGUAAGAUUAUGUGUGGGUAUAGAUAUUUACCCACACAUAAUGCAAAUGUCAACAUGUGUCACAAUAAAAGUGUAGAGAAAAGUUUUUACCCACAGAUAUAUUUAUGUGUGGAUAAAUCUAAUAAUAUUACCGACAUAUAUAUAUGUCGCUAAAAGUGUUUCUUAUGUGUAGGUAAAUAUGUUUUUGUCAUAAUAUAAUGUUGAUGUGGAAAUUACGUGGAUGCUGAUGUGGCAUUUACACGUGGCAAUAAAUAAGUGUGUAUAACUUAUGUGUGGCUAAAACUAUUUGGAAUUUUUUAAUUUAAUUUUUAUUUUAUAUAUAUACGUAUAGUAUAUUAUAUUAUAUUAUAUUAUAUUAUAUUAUAUUUUAUUAAUUAUAUAUAGUUAAUCUAGUUUAGAAACUCUUAAAUUAAAUAUAGUAUGUACAACACAUUAAAAUAUAACAUGAUUAUAUAAAAAUAUUUACUUUAUUAAUAAUAUCAAAGUACACAUUAUUUAUGUCACAACUACAAAAAGACAUUACAUAUAUAAUCACACUACACAAUUGAUCAAACUAUUCUAAUUUUCUACGAAGCUUCGUUGACGAAAAGUAAUCCAACGUAUUGGUUAAGCUGCAUCUUGACAUCUGCUUCAGCAGCUAUUACUGUAAAGAUAAUAAAAACAUAAUAUUAAUUAACUACAACUUAAUUGGAUUCAAUAAGAUGAAUAGCCACAAAACACUCUACCUGACAAAAUAGAGAAGGUGCAGCUGAAGUUAAGAAAACAGAGUGUGAUUUAUACCAUAUUCCACAUUCAAGAAAGUGAAGUAGAGCUUUUGGAAGAUCCCCAGUAUAAUUGUAAAAUAUUGCCUACAUGAAGAGAAAAUAAGAAGUGAGCAACAAAAAAGAAAGAAACUUAUAUUUCAAACCAUAAUCACAAUGACUAUCAAGCCAAUUCUGUAUGCAUUCGAAUGAAAGAGCACAUAUACAUGCUCAUAAUCUAAAAUAUUUCAUAAGAAAUCAAAUGCUAUAAUGUAUAUAUACGUGUACAGAAAUGAGAGAAUAUGAUGGGGUGGGUGUAUGUUUUGAGUUUAGUUUAUGAGCAUAU
rnacentral:lncRNA from 1 species